rnacentral:rRNA from 1 species
AGAGUUUGAUCCUGGCUCAGAGCGAACGCUGGCGGCAUGCCUAACACAUGCAAGUCGAACGGAAUGCUUCGGCAUUCAGUGGCGCACGGGUGAGUAACGCGUGGGAACCUGCCCUGGGAUGGGGAAUAACCAUGGGAAACUGUGGCUAAUACCGCAUACGCCCUGAGGGGGAAAGGCUUCGGCCGUCCUGGGAGGGGCCCGCGUCCGAUUAGGUAGUUGGUGGGGUAACGGCCUACCAAGCCGACGAUCCGUAGCUGGUUUGAGAGGAUGAUCAGCCACACUGGGACUGAGACACGGCCCAGACUCCUACGGGAGGCAGCAGUGGGGAAUCUUGGACAAUGGGGGCAACCCUGAUCCAGCCAUGCCGCGUGAACGAUGAAGGCCUUAGGGUUGUAAAGUUCUUUCACCGGGGAAGAUAAUGACGGUACCCGGAGAAGAAGCCCCGGCUAACUCCGUGCCAGCAGCCGCGGUAAUACGGAGGGGGCUAGCGUUGUUCGGAAUUACUGGGCGUAAAGCGCACGUAGGCGGACCAUUAAGUCGGGGGUGAAAUCCCGGGGCUCAACCCCGGAACUGCCUUCGAUACUGGUGGUCUGGAGGUCGAGAGAGGCGAGUGGAAUUCCGAGUGUAGAGGUGAAAUUCGUAGAUAUUCGGAGGAACACCAGUGGCGAAGGCGGCUCGCUGGCUCGAUACUGACGCUG